GAUGCAUCAUAUAUCAGGAGUUUAGGAGCUUCUCCAGGUUUCUGUAGGUACCAGUGGAGGUUACUGCCAACACUCUCACUGGCCCUGCAGCUGAUAGUAACAGUCUGUCCUGGU